AUGUGUCCUCGCCGGUCGCCGCGGCAGCCAGUGAUGCCCGAGCGGCGGGUUCCCAGGCCCAGGUGUGGGCGCCACCGCCCACCAUGCGCCAAGCCCAGAGCCUGGUUGAAUCGUUCGCCACCUUGUCUACCCAUUUUGGCCAUUAUCCUGCCACCUCCAAAUCCUGUUUUUGACACUUCUCGGGAGAGAGAGAAAACGGAAAGAUAAAGGAAUAAACUCCUCGUGGUCGUAGUUAGUGGGUAAAUUCAGAUCUCGUUUGAACCGAGGUUUUUCUUAUCUCCAGCCACCGUAUCCACCACCACCAGAAUCGUCUUUUUAGUCAUCACAGCUGGUCGCCGUCAGUACCUUGUUCAGAAGCCUCUCGCAGCUUCCAUCGUGUGGUUAUACAAUCCAAAUUCCUUAUAAAGUCCAAAUUCAAGAGGAGGAAUGCACGUUUAGUUAAGUUAAUGUCUAGACCUUACCAGCCAAUUUCUAGCUCCUCAGUAUGGAAAUUGCAACUGAAAACACCCCUUCCAAAAAAAGCAGUCUGCAUUUUUCUCUGAGUUUUCUUCUCCAAAUUUCGCACCCCUGACCUUGCUUACACACUCUGGAUACCACCUGCUGUGGAGUGGCGGAAGCAGACAUCCAGCGAUAGCUAAGUUUCCUGUCGUUGACACCCAAGCAAGACAGGCGUGUACCUAACUGAGGACCUGCCGGUGAUAGAAGUCUCAGCUUUUCUCAGAGACAGAUGAGUCUUCCCUUUAAAUGCUGCAAAGUGCUGCAUAGUAGAUGUUAAAUGAAAGUCAGAAAGAAUCAAAUGUGCUGCAAAUAAUUGAAGACCAGAUUACAGAGGGGUAUUGAUUUGCCUUUCCCCCGCCCCCACCAUCACAGUGUGUCCCUGUCCAGUGUUGGUGCUCUGUGGCAUUGCUUGUGUCCAUAGGAGUCCAUCAAGGCAGAGCGGCAAGAGCCAGUUCAACCCAAUGGAAAUAGAUUAAAAGAGUGAAAGUCACUGGUCUCAAAGAAUCUACGGAAUUCAGCAUUUUGGAAAUCACAUAGCAAUUUUGGGUAGGUAUUCACAUGCACUAAAAAACCAGGCAAACAUCCGACUCCCAGGAUAAAGUGACUGAGAGCAGUAGAAGACUUGUUGAGCCGUAAGGAAUAAGAGGAAAAUUAUGUUAUGAAGUGCAGGAACAGCACAGACCCAGACGAGGGGAUGCAGCCCAGAGCCAGUAACCCGGUGCCUCCUCCUCCCCAGGAAGCAGCGCUGGCUGAUCCCCAGAUACCAUGAUCACACCGUCCCAGGUCCUGAGAGCGCCUCAUAGGUAGACAGUUCUUUGGGACUUUUGGGACGCAGCACUUGAAGAGAGGUCUACCUAAACUUUCCUCCUGGGAGCCUGUGAUCAUUUGAAAGUAACAGAAGAAAGUUGUCAGGCUGAGGAAAGUUUCAACAGGCACUUGGUGAGAAUGGGAAGCAUCCAUUCAUUGCGAAAUCGCGGGGACAGAGGAGGAAUUCACGGGAUCAGAGCACUGAGAAACUCCAGAGGCUUCUGGUUCACCGCCCUGAUUCCACAGAUGUGGGUCAGAGGCAGAGAUGGAAGUUGGAAUGGACAAGCCUGCCCUCUCAUCGGCUCUCCAUGGCUCUGUCCUCAGGCUGUUUCUGCAAUUUGACAUGAGGCCUGGCCCCAGGGAAACCAGUGGGGCCUCAUCUCCUCCCUGUGCUGCUCUGAGAUGGAGUCUUCUCAGGGUCAGUCCAGCUCUGGAGCCCCUCUCCAGCUCGGUCACCAAAGCUGUCUGGUCCCAGGGCGGUGCUGAGUGACAGGCACACCAGCCAGUCCAAUUGGCCAUUUCAUACCCAAUGCAUGUGACUGAUAAAGAGAUAACACCCUGUCUCCAAGACACAGGCUUUACAUAAACAGCUUUAAUGACCUCUUCACCUAGAGACAAGACUCCUUAGUGGUGGAACCUCAGGCAUCCGUGCAGGAUGUAAGAAAGCUCCCGUAUAUACAUGAACUGAGAAGUGUGUAGAAGAAUAAAUACUGUAAUAGGUAAUAAAAUGUAUGUAUUUUUA
rnacentral:lncRNA from 1 species